UCUUAGGGUUCAUUUUUUGGAAAUUUUGUUGUUUACUUGUUUCUUCAAAAUCAAUGUAUAACCCUUAAUUUUAAAUAUACUUCUUAAUUGAUGCUGAUGCUGCAGAGUCACGAGCAGCAUCCAUACUUGCGGGUCUGAGUUUCUCUCCUGAGAUGCAGAAGAAGCCAACAAAAGCAUUUUCUGGAGGGUGGAGGAUGCGGAUAGCUCUUGCCCGCGCACUGUUUAUAGAGCCUGAUAUUUUUCUUCUUGAUGAGCCUACGAACCAUCUCGAUCUUCAUGCUGUCUUAUGGCUUGAAUCGUACUUGGUUAAAUGACCAAAAACAUUUAUUGUUGUUUCUCACGCUAGAGAAUUUUUAAACACGGUGGUUACUGAUAUAAUUCACUUGCAAAACCAAAAGUUGACUACUUAUAGAGGGAAUUAUGAUACUUUUGAGAGGACUCGGGAAGAACAAAUUAAAAACCAACAAAAAGCAUUGGAGGCACAUGAGCGUUCAUGAGCUCAUAUGCAGGUAACAAUGUUUUUAUGGUGGGAUGUAGCUACAAGUUUGAGUUCCUCACUCCAGAUGAUAGACCAGGUGCACCAAUAAUAAGUUGCAGGAAAAUCUACUAUACUUAAGUUAAUUGCUGGAGAACUACAGCCAAGUUCUGGGACUGUCUUCCGUUCUGCCAAGGUUCGUAUAGCAGUGUUCAGCCAGCACCAUGUUGAUAUUAGAGAGAUACCAAUGUUGAAUAUUUAUAUGGAUAACAAAUAGCAGCUUAAAUUGAACCUUCCAAUGAUUACAUGUUAUUUAUGCUUUGUAGGUGUCCGUGUUGUUUGCUGAAUGGUAUAUGAUAUGUGAACUUCCUGGUUUCAGGUUAGACUUAAUUGUUUAAUGAUAAUUUUAGCAUUGGAGAAGUUCUUGUUUGUAAGCUUUAAACUAUUUGUGUGAUUUAUAAUGGAAAUGUUGGUAUGACUGGAUGUAUUAAAAUUUCUUUUUCUGGAAGAUGGACAUAUAGUUAAUAAGUGAUCAUUGACUUCUAGUUCACUCUGUUAGAGCUUUUAGUGUUUAUGUUGAGACCCCAUACUUACUAGGUAUAUUGCAAACUUACUUUUCAUAAUGCUUGGACAUCUGGUUUUCUUUGUUAUUUUGAUUACUUUUAGAACUUCAACUAGUAGUUAUAUUGGGUUUUGGUUUUUAAUGUUGGUUACAAAUGAACAAAUUACUUAGUCUAUCCAUAAAUAUGCUUCGUGAACCGGAAAAACCACAGUCAAAUAACUGGUCUUCCAUGUGAACAACCCCAAGAAUUUUCUGCUCCUUCAAACACGAGAGUUAACUGAGAGUUAAUUUGCUAUUUGCUGUCAUCUAACUUAUCUACAAACACGAAAUUUACAAGGUAUUGCGCUUCUAUAGUAUCUCCUCGGUAUUUACUGUCCUCUUGUUGGUAUAUCUGAAUUUUAUGGUUAAGAUAACUUUUUCUCUGCUACACUUUUGUUGUUUUGUGAUGUUUUACUUCAUUCUUGGUUGUAAAAAUAUAGCACAAGAAUGCAGAACAGAAAAGAAAACUGGGUGAUGAUAAUGAUGAGGCGAUUGUAUAUGUAAAGCCUGAGGAUGAACUUUUUCACAAGUUAAGCUCGUGGUCCUUCUGUUUUCCUUUGCGCACUCAGCAGCCUGCACCUCAUGAGGCAAGUUAUGUGAUUCUUACGUAUCAGUAGACUAUCAUUGUGAAUCUGUGAUGUUUUUAUUAAUCUGCUGAAAGUUACUCGUUUUUUUGUCAAUUUCUGAAAGUAAUUUGAAACGCAUAGUGCUAUCUCUGUCGGUCGGAGAAAUAAAUAAGCACUAUAUUUGUUUACUUCUUUGGGUAUUGGCCAUGUGGUUUCUAUUGGGGUUGUGGUGUUUAUAUAAAUGGAAUGCAGUGUGCAAAAUUUUAUGAAUUUUGUUCUCUACAAAUUGACAGAAAUGUAGCUUAGUAAAUUUUAAUAAUUUUCUUCUCUACAAAUUUUAAUAAACUUGUUUGUUGGAUGGUUGUCUGUUUUACUUUGAUUGUUUUCAUGAUUUUAGACCAUGUUGUUUGUUAAGGGAAACUAGGAAAGGCUUUAGCAUGUUAGACUAAAAUGUGAUUGCAGAGGAACUAAUUUAGUGGAAGUGCAUCAAACCACCAUAAGAUGUUACUCUGCCCGAGUCUCUAUAUUUAUUUUGGAGCAGUGUCAACUUUUACUUCAUUCUGUUUUGAUUUUUCAGUUUGUUUUAAUUAUUAUAUUGAAGUCAUUUCAUGAAGGGGGCGAGGAAGACUUUAAGCAAAUUUCUCUGUCAAUGUUCUUUCAUGUUACAUAUUGAGAAUAUCUGACACUAAUAGUUUUGUUGACUUUUUAUCGUUGACCAACUAGCGUCGGUCAGACCGACCCUUUAUUAUAAAAUUAUUUGACAACUGUAUCAUCCGGCGGCAAUCCGGCUCAAACGUUUUUUUACAAAUGACGUGGCAACAGAUAUAACUAGCGUCGGAUGAUCUAUAAUAACUGGUAGCGUCGCCGUAGAGUGGUUCGACGCUACAUUAGCUUCGACCGUUUAAUCUAGGUCUGACAUCGACGCUAAAUCAACAUUAGCGUCGGCUUUUUGCCUAUUAGCGUGGGUUUUGGCCGACGCUAAGUUCAAUUUUUCUAGUAGUAGUUUAAAGGAUUCCUUGUGGUACUCAAUUUAUAGGACUCUAUUUUGUUAUCGUAAAUCUUAUUUUAAAUGGAUAUAGUAUUGAUCAUUCUAA